rnacentral:rRNA from 1 species
AGCGAACGCUGGCGGCAGGCCUAACACAUGCAAGUCGAACGAAGUCUUCGGACUUAGUGGCGGACGGGUGAGUAACACGUGGGAACGUACCUUUUGGUUCGGAACAACUCAGGGAAACUUGAGCUAAUACCGGAUGAGCCCUUAAGGGGAAAGAUUUAUCGCCGAAAGAGCGGCCCGCGUUAGAUUAGCUAGUUGGUGAGGUAAAGGCUCACCAAGGCUACGAUCUAUAGCUGGUCUGGGAGGAUGAUCAGCCACACUGGGACUGAGACACGGCCCAGACUCCUACGGGAGGCAGCAGUGGGGAAUCUUGCGCAAUGGGCGAAAGCUUGACGCAGCCAUGCCGCGUGAAUGAUGAAGGUCUUAGGAUUGUAAAAUUCUUUUACCAGGGACGAUAAUGACGGUACCUGGAGAAAAAGCCCCGGCUAACUUCGUGCCAGCCGCCGCCGUAACAC